UUUUAUUUGGUGAUAAUUAAAUAAUUGAACUAACCCGUAAGCAGCAAAAUCAGUCCAGAGGUCUACUAAAAGGCGUGUUGCAAGGGAAUCUUUAACAUUGGUUGGUCUAAAUUUGUCCAUUUCAAGAUUGAAAAGGUACAUAUAAACCGGGACUAAGGAAAAACGAGUAAAAUUAUGAGACACAAAGGAGGACAAUCAACCAUUAAAUCAGAUGGAGGCAAUAAUUCAACUUACUUUCAGCGCCCCAAAGUAGCUUGGCUGUUUCAUCGAUGCAACUUGUAUAUAAGGCAUCCGUUGUCAUCUGAAAUGAUAAAUCACAAUUAGGUCUGGAAAAAAGGUUUAAAAUAGGAGAAAAGUAAAAUUUGUGAUUUUUUUCACAAUCAUCUUUUCAAAUUUUCCAAGUUCAACCGUUGAUACAAGAGGAGUAAAAAAAGUAAAAAACUUUAGGAUCAAUGAAGUUAUAAAAGUAACUGAAGAUGAUGAUGAUGAUGACAUUCUUCAACACCAUGAAAUUAAUUGUUAAACUUGAGUGUAUUAUUAGUUUUUUGAUACUUGAGUGAACAAUUUUUUUGCCCACCAAAAUGAUACGCUUUGCUUUGAACAGUUUGUUUGAUCAACUAUUAUCACUUUGCUUUUGUUAUCAACAUCAUCAUCAAAGGAUCAUUCAUUUGUUAUGUUAUGAUAGCUUCAUUUGGCCUACAAAAGGAUUCAACAUGAACGGAAAUCAAUCAUCUGAUAAAAAAAUGUACUUGGAACUGGAAACAUUUUUGAUACUACAGUGUAGUUGUUAACAAUUCACUGCUAUUGUUAUUUCACUGAGACUGUUAAUGAUGGGACAAAUUUGUUUACCAACACCUAAAACCAAUUUUUGCUUCCCUUUUUGUUAUUUCACUCAUUCAACUUUAUGACUAUUGAUCAGUUGUUCAUUUAAUCGUCACAAUUGAAUAAUAUUGGCUUAUACAGCUGAUGAUUCAAAACAUGGGGCUGUAUCAAAAUGAGUGGAUACAAAAUCGUAGUACAUUUAGAAGCGACGAAAACAAUCAAUAAUGGUCUUUAAUAUCAAACCUUUGGGUUCCAUAAAAAACUCACGCAUAAAUAAAUUUCAUCGAUUCCAAUAUCCGA